GCCUGUUUGUUGAAGAUCAUCCAGCAGCUAAUGAUUCUGUAUCAGGUUCUAAAUUUGUAAAGGAUUUUGACACUAGACCUAUUGCUGUAAUAUACCGAAGCAUCCACGGCGAGCUUAAGAAAAUCGAUGGCAAGGACGUGAGAGUUGACGAUCAUGAGAUGAAAGCAGAGAAAUCUUUUGUUGAGCGUAGCAAGCCUGGUAUGGAGAUUCCCACAUAGACUGCUACAACUAGGGAUCAUAAACAGAAGAUCAUAUAUUAAUAUUAUAGAAAUAUGAGUAGAAAAACACAUGAAUUCGAAAAGGGUUCAUGUGUUUGUAGAAUAUUAAUUAAGCAGUACCGUGUUUGGAGAGAUUAAUU
rnacentral:misc_RNA from 1 species